rnacentral:misc_RNA from 1 species
GUGAAUCAUCGAAUCUUUGAACGCACAUUGCGCCCGCCAGCAUUCUGGCGGGCAUGCCUGUUCGAGCGUCAUUACAACACUCGACUUCCCGGGCCCAGCCCGUGGAAGUCGGCAUUGGGGAUCGGCAGCACACCGCCGGCCCUGAAAUGGAGUGGCGGCCCGUCCGCGGCGACCUCUGCGUAGUAAUCCAACUCGCACCGGAACCCCGACGUGGCCACGCCGUAAAACACCCAACUUCUGAACGUUGACCUCGAAUCAGGUAGGACUACCCGCUGAACUUAAGCAUAUCAAUAAGCGGAGGA